UAUGAUGUAGUGGGAGGGUAGUAUAAUUUGUGUCAUUUUGAAAACUGUAUUAACAGUAAUUAUUCUUUAUUUUCAUCAAAUAGUUAAAAAAAAUAAAAAAAAAAAAAAAAAUAUUUUGCACAAAAUAUACUUCUCUUACACUAACUAGAUUAAAAAUCUUUCCGUUUUAUUAUAUUUGAUAAAAGUUUUUUUCGCCAAUAAAAAAUAAAAUAAAAUAUAUAUUUCUUUUCAGUACUGGGCCAGUUUAAAUUCCCGUACAGAAGAUCAGCUAUCGCUAACAUCUGAAAUGCAUUUCAACAGUCGUUUACGAAGGUAUAAUAUAUAUAUAUAUAUAUAUAUAUAUAAAAGCUUGUACACCGUUUUCUUAUUAAAUUAUAUCACUACGAGUUACAACCAUGUCUGCUUUUCGCAUGCUUUGUGCUCAUAUUACGCGCGGC
rnacentral:lncRNA from 1 species